rnacentral:rRNA from 1 species
AUUGAACGCUGGCGGCAGGCCUAACACAUGCAAGUCGAACGAGUGGCGGACGGGUGGAUAAUGUCUUGGAAACUGCCUGAUGUAGGGGUAUAACGACUGUAACCGGUAGCUAAUACCGCAUACGAUCAUAUGUGUCCAGCUGGGAUUAGGUUGUGGGGGGGGUAACGGAUGACCAAGGCGACGAUCCCUAGCUGGUCUGAGAGGAUGAACAGCCACACUGGAACUGAGACACGGCCCAGACUCCUACGGGAGGCAGCAGUGGGGAAUCUUGGACAAUGGGCGAAAGCCUGAUGCAGCCAUGCCGCGUGUAUGAAGAAGGCCUUCGGGUUGUAAAGUUCUUUUAGCGGGGAGGCGUUACCCGACGAAGAAGCACCGGCUAACUACGUGCCAGCAGCCGCGGUAAUAC